UAGGGAAUCUUCCGCAAUGGACGAAAGUCUGACGGAGCAACGCCGCGUGAGUGAAGAAGGUUUUCGGUUCGUAAAACUCUGUUGUUAGGGAAGAAAAAAUGUAUAGUAACUAUAUACAAAAGAGACGGUACCUAACCAGAAAGCCACGGCUUACUACGUCCCAGCAGCCGCGGUAAUACGUAGGUGGCAAGCGUUGUCCGGUAUUUUUGGUCGUAAAUCGCGCGCCGGUGCUUUAGAAAGUGUGAUGUGAAAGCCCACGGCUCAACCGUGGAGGGUCAUUGGAAACUAAUAAACUUGAGUGCAGGAGAGAAAAGUGGAAUUCCUAGUGUAGCGGUGAAAAGCGUAGAGAUUAGGAGGAACACCGGUGGCGAAAGCGGCUUUUUGGACUGCAACAGACACUGAGGCGCGAAAGCGUGGGGAGCAAACAGG
rnacentral:rRNA from 1 species